AGUGCCUACGGGGGGCAGCAGUGGGGGAUAUUGCACAAUGGGGGGAACCCUGAUGCAGCGACGCCGCGUGGGUGAAGAAGCGCCUCGGCGCGUAAAGCCCUGUCAGCAGGGAAGAAAAUGACGGUACCUGAAGAAGAAGCCCCGGCUAACUACGCGCCAGCAGCCGCGGUAAUACGUAGGGGGCAAGCGUUAUACGGAUUUACUGGGUGUAAAGGGAGCGUAGACGGAGAAGCAAGUCUGAAGUGAAAGCCCGUGGCUUAACCAC
rnacentral:rRNA from 1 species